rnacentral:tRNA from 1 species
GCGGUACGGGCGGCAGGUGCCGGCGCAGCGCCUGGCGGGUGCUGCGCCAGCCGCUCGGCCGGCCGUGCCGCA